CCCUUAGAUGUUCUGGGCCGCACGCGCGCUACACGGACGAUGGCAACGAGUUUUUCCUUCGCCGAAAGGUGUGGGUAAUCUUUUGAAACAUCGUCGUGCUGGGGAUAGAUCAUUGCAAUUUUUGAUCUUGAACGAGGAAUUCCUAGUAAGCGCGAGUCAUCAGCUCGCGUUGAUUACGUCCCUGCCCUUUGUACACACCGCCCGUCGCUACUACCGAUUGAAUGGUUUAGUGAGGACUCCUGAUUGGCGCCGCCGCCCCGGCAACGGAGCAGCGGACUGCCGAAAAGUUGUUCAAACUUGAUCAUUUAGAGGAAGUAAAAGUCGUAACA
rnacentral:rRNA from 1 species